UGAUCCAGAGAUUUCCGAAUGGGGAAACCCAGCAUGAGUUAUGUCAUGUUAUCGAUAUGUGAACACAUAGCAUAUCAGAAGGCACACCCGGAGAACUGAAACAUCUUAGUACCCGGAGGAAGAGAAAGAAAAUUCGAUUCCCUUAGUAGCGGCGAGCGAAAUGGGAAGAGCCCAAACCAACAAGCUUGCUUGUUGGGGUUGUAGGACACUCUAUACGGAGUUACA
rnacentral:rRNA from 1 species